UGACCUUGUGACCCGAGACCCAAAAAGAUGAUUGCAGUGAAUUCUUGUGAUUUACAAACUGGAAAUAUGCAAGUCUCACGUUGUUUUGCAAACGCGUUAAGAAAUGUGAGAUUAUUUAAGUUAUCAAAAUGACCGACAGGAAUUACUACAGUGAGGAAGAUCCUUUUUCAUACAGGGAAUCUGAUUACAGUAGAAAUAUGGUGGAUUUAUGCAACUAGUCAGACAGACUAGACAGAUUUUUUUAAACAGACAGUCUUUAGUCGUGAGUCACAAAAAAUUGUAAGCAGUUGAUCAUCAAUUUUCAGUGGCAACAUUUUCAAUAGUAAGUAUUAAAUGAAAAACAUGAAUUCCUAACUUUGAACUUGUGACGUUCGACUCGGAACUGGUGCAUGAAUCCCUUAUUCGCCUUGUAUCUUAUUAUGAGUUGUAUAACAGUACCUACUUUCAUAUAAGAACUGUUGCUUUUGAAAGUAAAACUGCUUGUCAGCAUGAUAAAUUGAUAUUUUUUCUUGAUGUCUUGAAAUCAUUAGAAAACAAACCACACUUUUGCAUUGGUUUUAAAUAUCUGCUCAACUUGAGGGUGUUUAUAUUUUAUCUUUCGGGUUUUCUAUCAAUCUGUUUAAGUUCUACUGAUAAAAAGAGAUGCCAGUUCGUAUAUCUUAAUUGUAUUGAAUAAUUAACUGUGAUUGAAGUGAUGUAAUGUAUUUGUAUACACAGGGAAUGUAUACCUAUAUCUACCAUAUAUUUUGAUGUAAUAUUAAUUUUAUGAUGUGUCAAUAAGAAUUUGGUUCUUUUGACAAUGAAGUAUACAAUCAUUGAUUGAUUAAAUGAUGUUCCAUGUUCCA